UACGGGGGGGGCAAGCGUUGUUCGGAAUUACUGGGCGUAAAGGGCUCGUAGGCGGCCAACUAAGUCAUACGUGAAAUCCCUCGGCUUAACCGGGGAACUGCGUCUGAUACUGGAUGGCUUGAGUUCGGGAGAGGGAUGCGGAAUUCCAGGUGUAGCGGUGAAAUGCGUAGAUAUCUGGAUGAACACCGGUGGCGAAGGCGGCAUCCUGGACCGAUACUGACGCUGAGGAGCGAAAGCCAGGGGAGCAAACGGG
rnacentral:rRNA from 1 species